rnacentral:rRNA from 1 species
UACGUAGGGGCUAGCGUUAUCCGGAUUUACUGGGCGUAAAGGGUGCGUAGGCGGUCUUUCAAGUCAGGAGUGAAAGGCUACGGCUCAACCGUAGUAAGCUCUUGAAACUGUAAGACUUGAGUGCAGGAGAGGAGAGUGGAAUUCCUAGUGUAGAGGUGAAAUGCGUAGAUAUUCGGAGGAACACCAGUGGCGAAGGCGGCUUGCUGGGGUCUAACUGACGCUGAGGCUCGAAAGUGUGGGGAGCAAACAGGAUUAGAUACCCCGGUAGUCCCUGAG